rnacentral:tRNA from 2 species
UGCACCCAUAGCUCAAUUGGAUAGAGUACUUGACUACGAAUCAAGCGGUUACAGGUUCGACUCCUGUUGGGUGCAU